rnacentral:rRNA from 1 species
AUGUUUUCUAGGAGGUUUAGCACUGCGGUGCCUGCUUCAGAGCAAAUGAACCUUGUUAAGAAACUGCGAGAAAGAACGUGUGCUCCGAUCAAAGAUGUCAAGGCUUCGCUAGUUUGUUGCGACUGGGAUAUUGAGACUGCACAGAAGGAUCUGGGGAAGAGAGGGGUGAUUCUUGCUGCCAAAAAAUCGUCACGGACUGCUGCCGAAGGUUUGCUUGCUAUGGCAGGAGAUGAUAAAAGGGUUGCUAUGGUUGAGCUAAAUUGUGAGACCGACUUCAUGGCAAGAAAUGAUGUUUUCCAGUAUCCAGCUUCAUCCUUGGCAAAGAUGGCUCUGUCAGCUCAGGAUCCCGGGAAAUCAGUUUUCCCUUUUGCUCCUGCAUAUUUGGAGAACAUGAGUAUUAACCUAGAUCAUCCUAAACCCAGUGGUGAAACAACUGUUCGGGAUGCUAUUACGGAAGUUGCUGACAUGGUUAUGGAGAACGUAAGACUCAGAAGAGGUUUCAUGCUGUACACAACUGCACAUGGUCUUGUUUCAUCUUAUCUGCAUAUCUAUCAAGAUUGUCUGAGUCGCGUUGCUGGAUUGGUCACUUUAGAAGCAGAAGAUAGCAGUGCUCCCCUUGACGCUCUCGAGAGAGUUGGGUCGUCUGUCCCAAUGCAUAUUGUUGCAGCAAGUCUUAUCAAAAGAAGUAGAGAACUUGUUUCUGCUGCAGCUGUGGAAAAUGAACGUGAUGGGCUCUGA